UUAAACAUUGGAUACGUGGAAAAAUUCUCUUACAUGGGCACCUUGAGAAUUUGGAGUUAGUGGUGCAACCUGCCAAUAAUUAG
rnacentral:ncRNA from 2 species